rnacentral:rRNA from 1 species
GACGUAGGGCGCGAGCGUUGUCCGGAUUUAUUGGGCGUAAAGAGCUCGUAGGCGGCUUGUCGCGUCGACUGUGAAAAUCCGCGGCUCAACCGCGUGGUCUGCAGUCGAUACGGGCAGGCUAGAGUUCGGUAGGGGAGACUGGAAUUCCUGGUGUAGCGGUGAAAUGCGCAGAUAUCAGGAGGAACACCCAUAGCGAAGGCAGCUUGCUGGGACGUUACUGACGCUAAGGCGCGAAAGCGUGGGGAGCGAACAGG